CGUGUCGUGAGAUGUUGGGUUAAGUCCCGCAACGAGCGCAACCCUUGUCCCUAGUUGCUACGCAAGGGCACUCUAGGGAGACUGCCGGUGACAAACCGGAGGAAGGUGGGGAUGACGUCAAGUCCUCAUGGCCCUUAUGGGUAGGGCUUCACACGUCAUACAAUGGUCGGAACAGAGGGUCGCCAACCCGCGAGGGGGAGCCAAUCCCAGAAAACCGAUCGUAGUCCGGAUCGCACUCUGCAACUCGAGUGCGUGAAGCUGGAAUCGCUAGUAAUCGCGGAUCAGCAUGCCGCGGUGAAUACGUUCCCGGGUCUU
rnacentral:rRNA from 1 species